rnacentral:rRNA from 1 species
AUUGAACGCUGGCGGCAGGCCUAACACAUGCAAGUCGAGCGAGCGGCGGACGGGUGAGUAAUGUCUGGGAAACUGCCUGAUGGAGGGGGAUAACUACUGGAAACGGUAGCUAAUACCGCAUACCAUCAGAUGUGCCCAGAUGGGAUUAGCUAGUAGGUGGGGUAACGGCUCACCUAGGCGACGAUCUGGAGCGGGUCUGAGAGGAUCAUCCGCCACACUGGGACUGGGUAACGGCCCAGACUCCUACGGGAGUCAGCAGUGGGUAAUAUUGGACAAUGGGGGGAACCCUGAGCCAGCCAGGCCGCGUGAGUGAAGAAGGCCUGAUGGUUGUAAAGCACUUUAAGCGAGGAGGCGUUACUCGCAGAAUAAGCACCGGCUAACUCUGUGCCAGCCGCCGCGGUAAUUC